UGGAUCAGUGAUUACCACUGGUGGUGUAUGAUUCAUAGAUGGUGACUGAAGUCCAC
rnacentral:snoRNA from 1 species